GACGAACGCUGGCGGCGUGCCUAAUACAUGCAAGUAGAACGCACAGUUUAUACCGUAGCUUGCUACACCAUAGACUGUGAGUUGCGAACGGGUGAGUAACGCGUAGGUAACCUGCCUGGUAGCGGGGGAUAACUAUUGGAAACGAUAGCUAAUACCGCAUAAUAUUGAUUAUUGCAUGAUAAUUGAUUGAAAGAUGCUAUUGCAUCACUACCAGAUGGACCUGCGUUGUAUUAGCUAGUAGGUGAGGUAACGGCUCACCUAGGCGACGAUACAUAGCCGACCUGGGAGGGUGAUCGGCCACACUGGGACUGAGACACGGCCCAGACUCCUACGGGAGGCAGCAGUAGGGAAUCUUCGGCAAUGGACGAAAGUCUGACCGAGCAACGCCGCGUGAGUGAAGAAGGUUUUCGGAUCGUAAAGCUCUGUUGUAAGAGAAGAAAGGGUGUGAGAGUGGAAAGUUCACACUGUGACGGUAUCUUAACAGAAAGGGACGGCUAACUACGUG
rnacentral:rRNA from 1 species